AGAGUGAACGCUGGCGGUAGGCCUAACACAUGCAAGUCGAACGGCAGCACAGUAGGAGCUUGCUCUUACGGGUGGCGAGUGGCGGACGGGUGAGGAAUACAUCGGAAUCUACCUUUUGGUGGGGGAUAACGUAGGGAAACUUACGCUAAUACCGCAUACGCCCUUCGGGGGAAAGCCGGGGACCAGCAAUGGCCUGGCGCUGAUAGAUGAGCCGAUGUCGGAUUAGCUAGUUGGUGAGGUAAUGGCUCACCAAGGCGACGAUCCGUAGCUGGUCUGAGAGGAUGAUCAGCCACACUGGAACUGAGACACGGUCCAGGCUCCGUACGGGAGCAGCAGUGGGGAAUAUUGGACAAGUGGGCG
rnacentral:rRNA from 1 species